rnacentral:rRNA from 3 species
GAAACCGAGUCUUAACCGGGCGUUAAGUUGCAGGGUAUAGACCCGAAACCCGGUGAUCUAGCCAUGGGCAGGUUGAAGGUUGGGUAACACUAACUGGAGGACCGAACCGACUAAUGUUGAAAAAUUAGCGGAUGACCUGUGGCUGGGGGUGAAAGGCCAAUCAAACCGGGAGAUAGCUGGUUCUCCCCGAAAGCUAUUUAGGUAGCGCCUCGUGAAUUCAUCUCCGGGGGUAGAGCACUGUUUCGGCUAGGGGGCCAUCCCGGCUUACCAACCCGAUGCAAACUGCGAAUACCGGAGAAUGUUAUCACGGGAGACACACGGCGGGUGCUAACGUCCGUCGUGAAGAGGGAAACAACCCAGACCGCCAGCUAAGGUCCCAAAGUCAUGGUUAAGUGGGAAACGAUGUGGGAAGGCCCAGACAGCCAGGAUGUUGGCUUAGAAGCAGCCAUCAUUUAAAGAAAGCGUAAUAGCUCACUGGUCGAGUCGGCCUGCGCGGAAGAUGUAACGGGGCUAAACCAUGCACCGAAGCUGCGGCAGCGACACUGUGUGUUGUUGGGUAGGGGAGCGUUCUGUAAGCCUGUGAAGGUGUGUCGUGAGGCAUGCUGGAGGUAUCAGAAGUGCGAAUGCUGACAUAAGUAACGAUAAAGCGGGUGAAAAGCCCGCUCGCCGGAAGACCAAGGGUUCCUGUCCAACGUUAAUCGGGGCAGGGUGAGUCGACCCCUAAGGCGAGGCCGAAAGGCGUAGUCGAUGGGAAACGGGUUAAUAUUCCCGUACUUGGUGUUACUGCGAAGGGGGGACGGAGAAGGCUAUGUUGGCCGGGCGACGGUUGUCCCGGUUUAAGCGUGUAGGUGUGUGUUCCAGGUAAAUCCGGUUCACUUUAACACUGAGGCGUGACGACGAGGCACUACGGUGCUGAAGCAACAAAUGCCCUGCUUCCAGGAAAAGCCUCUAAGCAUCAGGUAACAUCAAAUCGUACCCCAAACCGACACAGGUGGUCAGGUAGAGAAUACCAAGGCGCUUGAGAGAACUCGGGUGAAGGAACUAGGCAAAAUGGUGCCGUAACUUCGGGAGAAGGCACGCUGACACGUAGGUGAAGUGAUUUACUCAUGGAGCUGAAGUCAGUCGAAGAUACCAGCUGGCUGCAACUGUUUAUUAAAAACACAGCACUGUGCAAACACGAAAGUGGACGUAUACGGUGUGACGCCUGCCCGGUGCCGGAAGGUUAAUUGAUGGGGUCAGCGCAAGCGAAGCUCCUGAUCGAAGCCCCGGUAAACGGCGGCCGUAACUAUAACGGUCCUAAGGUAGCGAAAUUCCUUGUCGGGUAAGUUCCGACCUGCACGAAUGGCGUAAUGAUGGCCAGGCUGUCUCCACCCGAGACUCAGUGAAAUUGAACUCGCUGUGAAGAUGCAGUGUACCCGCGGCAAGACGGAAAGACCCCGUGAACCUUUACUAUAGCUUGACACUGAACAUUGAGCCUUGAUGUGUAGGAUAGGUGGGAGGCUUUGAAGUGUGGACGCCAGUCUGCAUGGAGCCGACCUUGAAAUACCACCCUUUAAUGUUUGAUGUUCUAACGUGGACCCGUUACCCGGGUUGCGGACAGUGUCUGGUGGGUAGUUUGACUGGGGCGGUCUCCUCCUAAAGAGUAACGGAGGAGCACGAAGGUUGGCUAAUCCUGGUCGGACAUCAGGAGGUUAGUGCAAUGGCAUAAGCCAGCUUGACUGCGAGCGUGACGGCGCGAGCAGGUGCGAAAGCAGGUCAUAGUGAUCCGGUGGUUCUGAAUGGAAGGGCCAUCGCUCAACGGAUAAAAGGUACUCCGGGGAUAACAGGCUGAUACCGCCCAAGAGUUCAUAUCGACGGCGGUGUUUGGCACCUCGAUGUCGGCUCAUCACAUCCUGGGGCUGAAGUAGGUCCCAAGGGUAUGGCUGUUCGCCAUUUAAAGUGGUACGCGAGCUGGGUUUAGAACGUCGUGAGACAGUUCGGUCCCUAUCUGCCGUGGGCGCUGGAGAACUGAGGGGGGCUGCUCCUAGUACGAGAGGACCGGAGUGGACGCAUCACUGGUGUUCGGGUUGUCAUGCCAAUGGCACUGCCCGGUAGCUAAAUGCGGAAGAGAUAAGUGCUGAAAGCAUCUAAGCACGAAACUUGCCCCGA